GUGUCAGCAGCCGCGGUAAGACAUAGGUGGCGAACGUUAUCCGGAAUUAUUGGGCGUAAAGGAUGCGUAGAUGGUAUAAUAAGUUAUUGGUGGUAAAUCGAGGCUCAACCUCGUGGAAGCUGGUAAUACUGUUAUACUCGAGGAUAGGAGAGGUUAACGGAACUCCCUGUGGAGCGGUGAAAUGCGUAGAUAUAGGGAAGAACACCAAUAAAGGCGAAGGCAGUUAACUAUUCUAUUCCUGACAUUGAGGCAUGAAAGCGUGGGGAGCAAAACGGAUUAGAUACCCGCGUAGUCC
rnacentral:rRNA from 1 species